UACGUAGGGUGCGAGCGUUGUCCGGAAUUAUUGGGCGUAAAGAGCUCGUAGGCGGUGUGUCACGUCGGCCGUGAAAACUUGCAGCUUAACUGUGGGCGUGCGGUCGAUACGGGCAUCACUGGAGUUCGGCAGGGGAGACUGGAAUUCCUGGUGUAGCGGUGAAAUGCGCAGAUAUCAGGAGGAACACCGGUGGCGAAGGCGGGUCUCUGGGCCAAUACUGACGCUGAGGAGCGAAAGCGUGGGGAGCAAACAGG
rnacentral:rRNA from 1 species